AUCCUGACCCUGUGGAAUGAACCUGCCCAGGCAGGGCUGCACCUGGAGCAGGGAUUGGAGUUCUGCUGUGCCCAACAUCAGCACAUGCAACAAGUGCUCUGGAACAAGUCCAGAGGAAGCCACCAGCUUGCUAAGAGGAGCAGCUCUGCUGUGGCUACAGGCUGAGACAGCUGGAUCCGCUCAGCCUGGAAAAGGUUGUGGAGAGACCUCCUUGUGCCUUGCAGAGUCUGAAAGCAGCUCCAAGGGGCUGAAGAGGCAAUUUUGCAUCAGGAAUUGUGGUGAUAGGUUAAGGAGCUGGAGCUGGCAGCCAGGUCAGGAGAGCUCCCCAGACAUGGGCAACUCCAGGUCACUUUGUGUCUGCAGGAUCUCCUCAGGCACAGAGCAGAGACUGUUUCCAGCUGUCACUGCCACAGCAUCUGGGGAGCCAUGGGCUGGGCACUGGUAGCACCAGGGCUCUUCCUGAUGUGUCUCUUGCUCCUGGCAAGGCAUCAGUUGCAUGGGCUGAGCUUCCAUUUUUACUUCCAAACCUUUCUGGGCCAUGAGCACCCUUAGGGCUGAGCCGGGCCUGCUGCCCCUGGGUCAGGCUGUGACGGCACAAAGGGGGUGUUCCCAGCCUCGGGAUGUCUCCGGGUGUGGUGGCCCCAACAUUGUGACGUCCCUAGGCUACCCCAAUAAAAGUCGGGGGGCCCCACAGUCACCAGUGCAGUUGCGAUGGCACAUGCCGGAGCCAUGAGCGACGUCAGUGUCCUGCUGGCUGCACUUGCCCUGCUGCUGGCCAUCGUGGCUGUCUGCUGGGCCAUUGGGCCCUGGGCAGCGCGGCGGCAGCAAAUGGGCACUCUGAUGCUGCGCAAGCGCCCCGGGCUACAGGCCAGGGGCCCACAGAGGAGCCCCUGUGGCUGCCAGGGCCUCCAGGCCUGGUGCGACCCCUGGGGAGCGUCCGGAUGCUCCGGCUGCUUCCCCGAACGAGCCCUGCGGCUGCAGGCCCUGCGUGAGCAUGGCCAAGCAGCUGCAGGAGCUGCUGCUGCUGCUCCGGCCUCUGCGUGGGACAUCGGCGCGGAUGUGUUCCCAGCUGUGGUGGGCGCUGUGGGCACAGCUGAAGCGGCUGAGCAAGCGUGGCGGCCUGUCCUGCUGUGCUGCGACCCACUGCUCCCGGCGCCGCCGGCCCUCCAAGAGGCUGCUCCCACCCAGAACGGCCAUUCCUGGGAUGGCCUCCAGCCGUCUCAGGAGAUUCCGCUGGGGACUGACUGCGCCUCCGAGAAGCUCAGGCAGUCAGAGAUGCAACAUUCCAGCAGCCUCUACUGCCUCCAAGGUCCUCCAGGCCUGCCAGACCCCUGCUGCUGACCACCUCUCUCCCUCUGAGGAUCUCGCCAGUGCUGAGACGCUGUGUUCCUCAGAGCAGCCUCCCAGAGGGUCCACUUCUUACGAGAGACCCCAGCCCUUCAAGAAUGUCUGCCUGCGGAGACCCAUGUUCCUGCUUCACUCCCAGGGCAUCACUCCUGGAGGCCACGAUCCCUCCCAGCCUCUAAGGAAGCCCUUCAGGCUGAGACACUGAAGGAGCCCUGGGCAGCUCUCCCUGCUCCUCUCGAGAUCAGCAACCUGCCAUGGACAUCGACAGCCCUGAUGCGUCUCAGAGCAUUGAGAUGGCCAGGGAAAGGCAGGAAGCAAAACCAGGAGCCCAGCUGGAGGCAGAGAAGUGUUCCCAGGAGCAGCUGGCAGAGUCAUUGAGUGUCCUGCAGCUACCACUGUCCACCCCAGGGCUCCCAGGACGCCGUGCCUGAGCCAGCCAGGGACAGCCCGAGCUCGGUGGCAGACGGUCCCCAGGAGACCAUGGAGGCUGUGGGGUCGCCAGGAGGCUCGGCCAAGACGGCCCCCGGACCCCAGUAGGGCAUACACAGUCAUAGGAGAGCCCUGCUGGGAUAGAUGUAAAUAAGUUAAGAUAGGUUAGGAUAGGUUAGGAUAUAUAAGUUAGGAUAUAUAUAAGUUAGGAUAGAUGUAGGAUAUAUAUAAGUUAGGAUAGAUGUUAAAUAAAUAAGGAUUCUCUCUUAGAGCUGUCCGAGUG
rnacentral:lncRNA from 1 species